AGUUUGAUCCUGGCUCAGAGCGAACGCUGGCGGCAGGCCUAACACAUGCAAGUCGAACGAUCCUUCGGGAUAGUGGCGGACGGGUGAGUAACACGUGGGAACGUGCCUUUUGGUUCGGAAUAACGCAGGGAAACUUGCGCUAAUACCGGAUGAGCCCUACGGGGGAAAGAUUUAUCGCCGAAAGAGCGGCCCGCGUUAGAUUAGCUAGUUGGUGGGGUAAAGGCCCACCAAGGCUACGAUCUAUAGCUGGUCUGAGAGGAUGAUCAGCCACACUGGGACUGAGACACGGCCCAGACUCCUACGGGAGGCAGCAGUGGGGAAUCUUGCGCAAUGGGCGAAAGCCUGACGCAGCCAUGCCGCGUGAAUGAUGAAGGUCUUAGGAUUGUAAAAUUCUUUUAGCAGGGACGAUAAUGACGGUACCUGCAGAAAAAGCCCCGGCUAACUUCGUGCCAGCAGCCGCGGUAAUACGAAGGGGGCUAGCGUUGCUCGGAAUUACUGGGCGUAAAGGGAGCGUAGGCGGGUCGUCAAGUUGGGGGUGAAAGCCCAGGGCUCAACCUUGGAACUGCCUUCAAAACUGACGAUCUAGAGUAUGGAAGAGGUAAGUGGAACUCCGAGUGUAGAGGUGAAAUUCGUAGAUAUUCGGAAGAACACCAGUGGCGAAGGCGACUUACUGGUCCAUGACUGACGCUGAGGCUCGAAAGCGUGGGGAGCAAACAGGAUUAGAUACCCUGGUAGUCCACGCUGUAAACGAUGAUUGCUAGUUGUCGGGCGGCAUGCCGUUCGGUGACGCAGCUAACGCAUUAAGCAAUCCGCCUGGGGAGUACGGUCGCAAGAUUAAAACUCAAAGGAAUUGACGG
rnacentral:rRNA from 1 species